rnacentral:rRNA from 1 species
CCUACGGGCGGCAGCAGUGGGGAAUAUUGCACAAUGGGCGCAAGCCUGAUGCAGCCAUGCCGCGUGUGUGAAGAAGGCCUUCGGGUUGUAAAGCACUUUCAGCGGGGAGGAAGGCGUUAAGGUUAAUAACCUUGUCGAUUGACGUUACCCGCAGAAGAAGCACCGGCUAACUCCGUGCCAGCAGCCGCGGUAAUACGGAGGGUGCAAGCGUUAAUCGGAAUUACUAGGCGUAAAGCGCACGCAGGCGGUCUGUCAAGUCGGAUGUGAAAUCCCCGGGCUCAACCUGGGAACUGCAUUCGAAACUGGCAGGCUAGAGUCUUGUAGAGGGGGGUAGAAUUCCAGGUGUAGCGGUGAAAUGCGUAGAGAUCUGGAGGAAUACCGGUGGCGAAGGCGGCCCCCUGGACAAAGACUGACGCUCAGGUGCGAAAGCGUGGGGAGCAAACAGGAUUAGAUACCCGUGUAGUC